rnacentral:rRNA from 1 species
CUGAUGCAGCCAUGCCGCGUGUAUGAAGAAGGCCUUCGGGUUGUAAAGUACUGUCAGCGGGGAGGAAGGCAGUGAGGUUAAUACCCUUGCUCAUUGACGUUACUCGCAGAAGAAGCACCGGCUAACUCCGUG